rnacentral:rRNA from 2 species
AGAGUUCGAUCCUGGCUCAGGAUGAACGCUGGCGGCGCGCCUAACACAUGCAAGUCGAACGGCACCCCUCUCCGGAGGGAAGCGAGUGGCGAACGGCUGAGUAACACGUGGAGAACCUGCCCCCUCCCCCGGGAUAGCCGCCCGAAAGGACGGGUAAUACCGGAUACCCCGGGGUGCCGCAUGGCACCCCGGCUAAAGCCCCGACGGGAGGGGAUGGCUCCGCGGCCCAUCAGGUAGACGGCGGGGUGACGGCCCACCGUGCCGACAACGGGUAGCCGGGUUGAGAGACCGACCGGCCAGAUUGGGACUGAGACACGGCCCAGACUCCUACGGGAGGCAGCAGUGGGGAAUCUUGCGCAAUGGGGGGAACCCUGACGCAGCGACGCCGCGUGCGGGACGGAGGCCUUCGGGUCGUAAACCGCUUUCAGCAGGGAAGAGUCAAGACUGUACCUGCAGAAGAAGCCCCGGCUAACUACGUGCCAGCAGCCGCGGUAAUACGUAGGGGGCGAGCGUUAUCCGGAUUCAUUGGGCGUAAAGCGCGCGUAGGCGGCCCGGCAGGCCGGGGGUCGAAGCGGGGGGCUCAACCCCCCGAAGCCCCCGGAACCUCCGCGGCUUGGGUCCGGUAGGGGAGGGUGGAACACCCGGUGUAGCGGUGGAAUGCGCAGAUAUCGGGUGGAACACCGGUGGCGAAGGCGGCCCUCUGGGCCGAGACCGACGCUGAGGCGCGAAAGCUGGGGGAGCGAACAGGAUUAGAUACCCUGGUAGUCCCAGCCGUAAACGAUGGACGCUAGGUGUGGGGGGACGAUCCCCCCGUGCCGCAGCCAACGCAUUAAGCGUCCCGCCUGGGGAGUACGGCCGCAAGGCUAAAACUCAAAGGAAUUGACGGGGGCCC